CCCUAUGGGGUGCAGCAGGCGAGAAACCUUUGCAAUGUGCGCAAGCACGACAAGGUUAAUCCGAGUGCUUCCUGCUAAAGGAAUCUUUUGCUAGUCCUAAAAACACUAGUGAAUAAGGGGUGGGCAAGUUCUGGUGUCAGCCGCCGCGGUAAAACCAGCACCUCAAGUGGUCAGGAGGAUUAUUGGGCCUAAAGCAUCCGUAGCCUGCUCUAUAAGUUUCCGGUUAAAUCCAUUGGCUCAACUAAUGGGCUGCCGGAAAUACUGUAGAGCUAGGGAGUGGGAGAGGUAGACGGUACUCGGUAGGAAGGGGUAAAAUCCUUUGAUCUAUUGAUGACCACCUGUGGCGAAGGCGGUCUACCAGAACACGUUCGACGGUGAGGGAUGAAAGCUGGGGGAGCAAACCGGAUUAGAUACCCGGGUAGUCCCAGCUGUAAACGAUGCAGACUCGGUGAUGCCCUGGCUUGUGGCCAGUGCAGUGCCGCAGGGAAGCCGUUAAGUUUGCCGCCUGGGAAGUACGUACGCAAGUAUGAAACUUAAAGGAAUUGGCGGGGGAGCACCACAAGGGGUGAAGCCUGCGGUUCAAUUGGAGUCAACGCCAGAAAUCUUACCCGAGGAGACAGCAGAAUGAAGGUCAAGCUGAAGACUUUACCAGACAAGCUGAGAAGUGGUGCAUGGCC
rnacentral:rRNA from 1 species